GACGAAGGUGGCGAGCGUUGUUCGGAAUCACUGGGCAUAAAGCGCACGUAGGCGGCGACGUAAGUUGGGUGUGAAAUCCCUCGGCCCAACCGAGGAACUGCGCCCAGUACUGCGUUGCUUGAGGAUCCAAGGGGUGCAUGGAAUUCCCGGUGGAGCGGUGAAAUGCGUUGAUAUCGGGAGGAAGCACCGGUGGCGAAGGCGGGACUCUGGGCCGAUACUGACGCUGAGGAGCGAAAGCGUGGGGAGCAAACAGG
rnacentral:rRNA from 1 species